rnacentral:lncRNA from 1 species
GUAUACGUAUAAAUUUCUAAUCUGAAGUGACUUUUAUAUUUAAAUCAUUAACUAAAAUAGCUGCUACGUACCUCUUACAAAAAUCUAUUAAAAGAAAACUGUGUCUUCAAGAAUCCAAUGAUCUGAACUUAUUAUAACUUAUUUUCCAUAAUUUCAACUUUUAAUUCAAAAGCACUUGUACUGAAUAAUGAUAUCCAAAUACGCAUGCUCAAUUUUCCAGUUUUAUUUGCACAUGUCCCAUCACACCAAAUAUCUAAUAUGUUUGAUGUUUGAGAUAUUGCUUGUUCUACCUCUUUUUCGUCAUAGGUGUCAAUGUUGCUGCAGUGAGUAUGCAAUAACAAGUUGUAGCUAUGAUUUUGCUGUGAGGUCAAACACAAUUGGAUUGCUGCAAUAUUGACUAGUUUGCGGCCAGCUUAAGAGAGAGAAAGAAGCAACUGAUGAUGACAAAUCAAAAUCUGAACUACAAAAUCAGUUACAAAAAAUUGAUGUUUUUUAUUUAGUGAUAGAUAACCUUUAUUCAAAGCAUAUAUAAAACCAAAGAUUCCAAAGAAAAAAUAAUUGUACACACAUGUAUAUUUUUUUGUUUUCAAAAUUUCUAAAACUGGGAACAGGUUGAUUUCCUGUAAGAUAAAAUAGAG